rnacentral:lncRNA from 1 species
AGCAAACAAAAGGGACAGUCCUGACCACCACAUCCCCUCUGUGGCCUUAGCCUCUUAUCCUUUGGGAGCUUUGAACCCUGGUGGGGGGUGGAGGUGGGAGAAAGUCGGUUACUAGGUGUAGAGGAGAAUGGCUGGGACUUGAACCCCCUCACCCCACAACCAGAUCCUGAUAAUGGGGACUGCAGUUGACUGCAGCCUGACCAGUCAGUCCCUUCUAGGGCUUAGUUGAGUCUUCCUUUGUCAGCCUAUGGCGCUAAAAUUAGGUAGAAUUGGGAACAGGGGCGGGGCUGGGUUGACUGCAACUUUGCUGGCUCCUGGUGAUCUGGAUUCUCCAAGAGAGAGAUCUGUGAGGGCUGAGGUCACUACAAACACUGCCAACUACACCGCCUACACCAUCACCACUCAGCCCCUAACCCCCACCCAGCCGCCCCUGAGUGCCUCUCCUACCUGCACAGAGGCCACAAAGGGCUGGGAAGAUCCUACCUCAACCCCCCAGCCUCCCAGGGGACAAAGAGUCUGCAGCCUACCGUGCAUUUGUCAUCCAUGUGCUCAGCGUUCUUACUGGGAUGUGGCUCCCUUCCACUCAUCUCUGCCACCUGAGAGAUGGGGUCUCGGGCUGUCUUUGAAUUCCCGUCAUAGCUGAAGAGGAACCUGAGCUUCUGCUUCUCUCAUCUCUGCUUCCUGAGCUGCCACCGCGCCAGUCUCUGCAGUGAAUAAAGACGACUAGGGGAGGAGAGCAGAGACCACAGGCCCAGGGACGCGACGUGAAGUUUGAACCCAGAGCACCCUAAUUUUGUGCUCCCUAACAGAUGCUUGAGAACAAAACACAAAAAUCAACAACCAUAGAUGGAAUCAUGAUUGACUUAUGGUUUUGAUUUGCACUUUCAAUAUUCAGUCACUCUGGACGUGAUAGCAUAUGCCUAUAAUUUCAGUGAGGUAGGAUGGCCAGUCUGGGCUACAUAGUAAGACUCUGGCUCAAAAACGAACAACAGUAACAACAAAAAAGGAAAAGGAAAGGAGGAAGGGGAAAGAGGAAGAAGAGGAGGAGGAAAAAAAGAGAGGGGUGAUGGGUUCAGUUUGCUCCCUGGGGAAUAUUUAGCAGUGGGUGGAAACACUUUGGUUGUUAUAACAGUGCACACAGAGGGUGGA